rnacentral:misc_RNA from 1 species
UCACUGCUUACGCAGGCAGUCUCAUUAGAGUCCCCGGCAUUACCCGCUGGCAACUAAUGAUAGGGGUUGCGCUCGUUACGGGACUUAACCCAACACCUCACGGCACGAGCUGACGACAGCCAUGCAGCACCUAGUUUUGUGCUCCGAAGAGAAUUCACCUUUCAGCGAACGUCACUAACUUUCAAGCCCAGGUAAGGUUCCUCGCGUAUCAUCGAAUUAAACCACAUGCUCCUCCGCUUGUGCGGGCCCCCGUCAAUUCCUUUGAGUUUCAAUCUUGCGACCGUACUCCCCAGGUGGAAUACUUAAUGCUUUCGCUUAGACGCGUACUGUAUAUCGCACACAUCGAGUAUUCAUCGUUUAGGGCGUGGACUAC